CACAAAAUGCAUGAACCAUAGCUAGCACAGAAGAUUAAAAAAGAAAAAAGAAAGCACAAAUGGCAUGCAUUAAGUUCUGUGAGCAUACCUUUUGCAUUCAACACGCGAUCUUUAGCCCUUGAGAUUACAUUAAGCUGAAGCAGUUAUAGGGCAACUCUCCUUUGGCGGGUCAUGAGAGAAUUAAAAUAGAUAGGACCUAUAAGGCCAUAGUCUAUAUCAUCUAUGAUCCGUGCCAAAGGAGAGAAGCCCCACAACUAGUUUGCUUACUAUAUAUCUGUAAAUCCUAAUUGUCUACUGCCUUGAUAGCUAAAAACAUCUCUGGUUUGUGCCUAGGGCAACUCAAGAUAUUUAUAGGCUCUUCAUGAAGGGCACUAGCAAUGGAUAAGCGAUUGAAGGAGUAGCAUAUGCCAUGGAUAUCCUUUGAUGCCUGCUUUCUACGCACUCCAAUGCUUCCUUGUGAAUGUUUUGGAUUCCAGUUUCAAACUUUAUUUCAACCUCUGAAAGUUUCUUUCAUCUCUCUCUCUCUUAUAAGCCAUGGCUAAUAAACGAUGCUUUCUUUUUAAUGUGUCUCUCUCUCCACCCAUUUUCGGAGACAAUUGCUGCAAAAUUUGGGCCUAGAGACAACGGUUGCAAUUGGACGACAAUUUCAUUUGGUCCAAUCAGAAUAAAUCCCAGCUCAUCUCAUUUGUUCCAAUCAUGUAUGUAUGUCAAUUUUAUAAGCUAAAAAUUACUUAUUAAGUUAUUAUAGAAAGAAUUUGCUAGUGGAUGAUAACCAACUCACAUUUCUUAAAAAAACACUACUUAGUGUGCAAGUAUUCAUAAUCUGAAAUAUUUUUCGUUUGUGCUUUGUUAGUAUAUCAAUUUUCAAGAUUAGAACCUCCGAUCCCUAGCUCCCUCUGGUAAAAAAAAUAAGAAUUACCAAUUACAAUUGGACAUAAUAUCUGGUUUUUAUUCCAGCAGUCUUCCCUUUUUAAGGCCUUUUUUUUUAAUUUUUUUUUUUUAUUUUAAUUUCUAGUUCAUUUUUAUGGAUGAAACUGCACCCAAGAUCAAAUUUACUAGAUUGGUUUUGUCUAUGUCCACAAAGAAGUGGAGGGCAUGGCAUAGGCAAUGCCUUUCAAUGAGAACAAGAUUAAUGUCUCUUAAAUCUUAAUUAGCUAUUCCUAUCUAGGAAUUUAUUCCUUUUUUUGUUUCCCUAUAAAAGGAACAUCUGAAUGAGAUUAUAUAGAAAUAUUCAGUGCUAACACAUUACUACUGAUCAUAAACCCUGCAUGGCAUCAAGUACAAACAUACCAGACACCAUCUUAAUUUUGAACAAAUACUAGCAAAUUAAAAUGUAUUUGCUUUAUUCCUUACUAGCAGAUAUGCUAUAUCUUACUUUUAGGCCUACUCUUUUUCUCCUUCAUUUUUUAUAUUUUGAUGCUUCUAAUUUCCUCCAUCACUUCUCUGUGGAUUCUUUUUCAAAUUAUUUUUCAUGUUGUCCUAAUUUAUCAUUAUCGUAGCUCUUUCUCCUAGCUAGUCAUAAAAUUUUUGUUUAACAUGUAAUCCAGCACAUUGAUUUGCAAAGAUUUUCAGAACAGAAUCUAAUCUUCAAUGCUAAUUGUAAAAGAACCACAACAAAUGCAAAAAGAUGCAAAAGAAAACAUAAUAAAUAUCUUCAAUGUGAACCCUUUUAUGAGUUCUUUCAAAUCCUAGACAAGAAUCAAUUUGACAUUUCCUUAGGCUAUUAGCCUAGUAAUAAGGGCUCCUAAAUUGCAUACUUUAGUCAAACCCAGUAAAAAAAAAA